rnacentral:rRNA from 1 species
UACAGGGGGGGCAAGCGUUGUUCGGAAUUACUGGGCGUAAAGGACGCGUAGGCGGCCUGUUAAGUCGAACGUGAAAUCCCUGGGCUCAACCCAGGAACUGCGUCCGAUACUGGCAGGCUUGAAUCCGGGAGAGGGAUGUGGAAUUCCAGGUGUAGCGGUGAAAUGCGUAGAUAUCUGGAGGAACACCGGUGGCGAAGGCGGCAUCCUGGACCGGUAUUGACGCUGAGGCGCGAAAGCCAGGGGAGCAAACGGG